AUUGAACGCUGGCGGCAUGCUUUACACAUGCAAGUCGAACGGAAGCGCGGGCUUCGGCCUGGUGGCGCGUGGCGAACGGGUGAGUAAUGCAUCGGAACGUGACCAGUAGUGGGGGAUGGCCCGGCGAAAGCCGGAUUAAUACAGCAUACGACAUGAGGGUGAAAGCGGGGGAUCGAAAGGCCUCGAGCGAUUGGAGAGGACGAUGUCGGAUUAGCUAGUUGGUGGGGUAAAGGCUUACCAAGGCGACGAUCCGUAGCUGGUCUGAGAGGACGACCAGCCACACUGGAACUGAGACACGGCCCAGACUCCUACGGGAGGCAGCAGUGGGGAAUUUUGGGCAAUGGGGGCAACCCUGACCCAGCCAUGCCGCGUGCGUGAAGAAGGCCUUCGGGUUGUAAACCGCUUUUGUUCGGGAAGAAAUCCUCUGGGCUAAUACCCCGGGGGGAUGACGGUACCGGAAGAAUAAGCACCGGCUAACUACGUG
rnacentral:rRNA from 1 species